CUCUCUCUCUCUCUCUCUCUCUCUCUCACUACCACGUCCCCCAAAUCCGUGGAUUUUAACCCUCGCAGGAAUGGGAAAUGCACCCUUCCGCUAUCCUACUAUGGUUAUUCUACUUUGUAGAAUGCAAUUUUCAUCUCGCACACCGUUCAAAAGCAUCAUCGAGCGUCCACGUUUUCGCUCGUGUUCAAUAAAUGUAGCUAUUAUAUACUAAUAGGAAAAAGUAAGAAGGGAUACGAAACUUCAUGAAUCUUCUUCGUUUCUCUUUAUUAAGUGAGUUGUUUAGUUUUUUUACCUGUCGAAUAGGAAUACGUAGACCUUGUAUCAUACUCGUCAACGAAUAUAAGGGAAACCCUUCUCGCUGAUGCUUCGUAUUUUGAAAGCAAGCCACUCUAAAUGAUGAGAUUUUCGAUGCCAUCCGUCGCGCGGAGGAAGGGUCGCGUUUGUUGAAAGAAACCGGAGCGCAUUAAAGUAUUGCCGGAGCGCUUUCGCUUUUGGCUUUUGCUUUUGCUUUUGCUUUUGCCUUUAUAGCCGCCUGGAACAAUGACGAAUCCCCGACGUCAUUGUGGUUGCCCCUGCAGCUCCGAUGAAAAUGCAGGAGGAAAGGGAAAAAUGUAAAAGAAAGCGCGGCGAAUGUGGGAAGAAAGAAAAUAGAAAACAAAAAGAGAAAAAGAGAGGAAGGUGUGCAUCAGGCAACAGUCACUCGCUCCUGAUUACACGGACCAUUGUGCAAUGACAACGAAAUCGGUAUAUGAGAGGACGAAUGUAAAAAGACGCCCAUGACUGAGGAAAGAUAGGCUAUAGCGUCAUAGAAAUUCACUCAUUUACUGCAACUAAAACACCUUGACGGAUUAUAAUGAACGAAAGUAAAAUCUUAUUUUGCUCGUUAUUCACGAUGAACGAAUAUUCCUACAUCAUUCUGAGUUGAGAGCUUGCAAUUAUGUAGAUACUGCGCAUGUACAUGCGUGCGUUAAUAUGCGCAAUCAUCUCUAGAUGAGACAGAGAGAGAGAGAGAGGGAGAGAGAGAGAGAUUCCAGUUUUUACAUAUACCACGUAAGCCACUGCACUGCAACGAAUGCACGUGCAUUGGAUUAAAGACUCGUCGUUGAUACUUCGCUAACCUGUCGCGGAGAAACCGGAAACGAGUUGAAUUCUUACGUGGAAACGCCUCGAUCCCGCAGGCCAAGCAGGUAGGACUGGUAAAACGGGUGGGGCUUCCGCUUUCAGAUCGUCGAUCAGGAUUGAUACAUCGAUCAUUCCUCGUACGUAUAAAAGAACCGUACAAGUGGUUGAGCAGUCCUUAUCAUGAGUAAUCUCAUUAAUCGCCGUAAAAAUCGCUUUUAUUUUUUUCAAACAUAACGCUCGUACGACUGAUGUAGAUUAUAUAGAUCGCGUGUAUGUAUAUAUAUAUAUAUAUAUAUACAUAUGUAUAUAUCGCUCUUUUCUUCUAUCACUGAGCAACUUUAAAACGUUCCUUCAACAAAGAUUUCGCUACUUUUGUAAUCUUUUGCGCAUAAUACAUAGAUACGACAUGAGAUCACCGAAGAACUUUAACAUAAACCGCAACACAGGAGGAUGAGGCAAUGUUACGAAGUAUCGACGUUUCGGUGUAACGAUAUCUUCUUUGAAGGUUUUACGUGUCUACGACCUUCUAAGGGUGCGGUUGCGAUCACGAUUGAUUCGAACAUAAUAGUAUUCGAAUGAAGAAAGAUGAAUGUUUGUCUCUGCAAAUAAAAAUCGAUAUCAUCGUUCAGCCACGCAACGUUAUCUAUGACUUAUACGGAAGUCAUUUAGUUGUAAAAGUUGGAAGAUAAUUUCACUAUGUGUAUAUUAUAUUUGGAUUGUAUGAGUCAUCAAAAGUUGAUAUUUAUAAGUCGAAGCGAGUCCUAACAACUAUUUCCCACGAUCCAUGAUACACGUCAAAAUAUUCAUCAUCGAGUAGGGAUAACGGUGCCGGGAUACUUUUCGUUCGAACAGCGACUUUAAGUCCCGAAGCAAGGUAGUAUCGGUAUUUCUUGCGGUUCUUUGUCCCGCAGGCCGUAUACCAACCUCACCUCACCUGUGCCAGGCCAGUUCGUCCAAGUAACUCGAUCACGCGUGGCAUACUGUGGUGGGGUACUCCUCCCUCCUCCAACUAUGGUAACAUCCUUCGGAGCGUCUCCAUCUUCGCACUCGCUUCAUCUAUUCUCGCAGUGCAAAGCUAUCGUUUUGCUUCCAUUUCUGUUUUUAUUCCUUCUACGAAUCAGCAUCGACUACCUCUCUCUCUCUCUCUCUCUCUCUCCUUUCAACUACAUCUCUACUACUCUGCGUAGCUAUCUAUCGCUCUCGCACUUUCAGUGCUCUCAUCGUCAUUGCAAAACGUUAUACGCUUCAUUGUAACAAUCUGAAAGAAUAUCGAGUUUCAAGGGGUUCCGCUGACUGUUCGACCACUCUUACAAAUAAAUAAUUACACAUUGAUAUGGCUUUAUACGUAGGAAAUAAAUGUUCAAACUAAAAUAAAGUGUCGAUCGUUAAAAUAAACAAACGAAUAUGAUUAGAUGAAGGAAAUAAGUCUGAGAAAAGCGCUCUAACGUAUCUUGCGUCGAUCGUCGAGAUCGCAGAGACUCGUAUCGCGAAGAAGAAGGGGGACGAUAGGGGGCGAUAGAAGGCAAGAGAGAUGGCCGCACAGCCAGGUCGGUCAUAGACUGCUUUUUCUAAAGAGUAUGAGAAGCUGGAAUAACCGACCCGAUGAACCGAGGUUCCGGAGGACAGAACGGUACACGAUGCCUUCCUCCUCCUUCUCUUCCAACCUUCACCGUGAGGCCACCGAAGAUGAGGGCCAGCAGGACCUCGGAGUUCCCACUCUUGAAAUUCCUACGUACGCUUCUGAUGGACACAGGCUUACGUAUAGGUAUACGGUACUCGCGCGCUGUUACCUCGCCAAGAGUCUGUCUUAAGCGUUGAUGUCGUCACCUGCAACACAGCAACCUUAUGCAAUAAAUCAUAUAAUCGAUUACAUAAAAAGCAAGUUUAUCCACGUAGUACGAUUAAACGAUGUUAUGGUAUAUUUUUAAUUAAAAAUAUAUAUCAAAAAAUUAAUAGUUAUAUAUACGAUAUACCUCCUUCUUAUCGGUUACCAGUUCCCAUGUUCUUUCGCUUAAAGAACCAACUACAUUGACAAUGGCCCGCCCCGUAUCAGCGCUCAAUUCUACGAGUUCCGAAAAAGUACUAGGCAUUUUAAAUGUCGACAUAUUUGACAAUUUAAUAUCUGGCAGUACUCGCUCGUUAUCUCCUGGCUUCACUGAAAUAAGUAACGUAAUCUUAAAAUCUAAGAGAGUAUGAUAACUCAAUAAACAAUUCAUAAAAUAUAAUAAAAUUAAAGAUAAACAUAAGAAAGGAAUAAACCUCUCUUAUGUAUGGAUAUCUUUUAUAAAUAAAUCUAAACUAAUAGAAGUACGUAAAAUGCCACUUCAAAAGAUACAUUAAACAUUAUCUUCUUGUAAAAUACAAUGAUAAGAAAAAUGUUUUAUCGAUAGGAGGGGAAAGCGGGGUGGGGUAUUAAUGUUAACUUUAAUUUUAAUUCUACGAUUUGUUUUAUGAAAUGUAUAUCAAAAAAUUUUGUUACUCACCGCCAUAAAUAAAAUUAUAACUAACAUUA